AAGUCAUACUCUCUAAAGGGAACAAGUAAGUGUCUAAGACUAUAAUUCAUCUGGAUCAGAAAUCCUAAACUCAUGUGGGACAGCUCUUCAGAUACUCAUUCAGCAAAUAAUUAUUAAACACGUGUACGGCAGGCAGGACAAGAAGUUCCUUCAUGCUGUCUGGUGGCUGUCUAGUGGAAGAAGCAAGG